UACGUAGGGACCAAGCGUUGUUCGGAUUUACUGGGCGUAAAGGGCGCGUAGGCGGCUUAUUAAGUCAGCUGUGAAAUCUCCGAGCUUAACUCGGAACUGUCAGCUGAUACUGAUGUGCUAGAGUGCAGAAGGGGCAAUCGGAAUUCUUGGUGUAGCGGUGAAAUGCGUAGAUAUCAAGAGGAACACCGGAGGUGAAGACGGGUUGCUGGGCUGACACUGACGCUGAUAGCGCGAAAGCCAGGGGAGCAAACGGG
rnacentral:rRNA from 1 species